rnacentral:lncRNA from 1 species
ACAUAUGCAAAUUGAAAAAUUCUAAGAUAUUUAUUACAAAUAUACAAAAGUGUAGGAUACAUAAUCAUUACAAUAAAUAAAUACCAAUAGUACUGGUGCAACAAUAUAUCAUCCAUACCUAAUGACUAGGAAACACAUUUAUGAAGAAUAUUACACCAUAUCAUUUGCAUCAAUUUGAUCAAAGGAAAAGAUCUUAUGAAUGAUAUUACAUUUAUCAAUCUACUAAUAUAAACUAAGUACAAUCUUCAAAUUAUAUUUUCUUGAUCCAACCAAAGAAUUCAGCUGCUGCAACUCAGUCAUGCUUCUCUCAAAUCUGAAAAACAAAAUUGGACCUUACAGUUAUAUGAUUAAAUGUAUACAAAUAUGGUUUUAGAAUAUAGAAGAAAAAGAACUUACAAAAGUUAACAGCCAAGAAGUUAAGCAUCCGAAAGAAAAAGCAUCACCAAUUGUCUUGCAAUCACAUACUUCCCUUACUAAUUCUUCAGUGUCCAGAAUAGAUCCAUCUAUGCGCACAAGUGAAAAUUCGGCACCUAAGUCAACAACACCAGCUUGGGAUCAGUACUCCGAAUAGCAACAUGUGCAACAUUCGCUUGUUUGGAUAUGUCAAUGUCUUUAGAAUUGCUUUGGAACCAACAAUAUGAUGGAUAUUAGCAUUCAAUGACAGUGAUGAUAUAAUAUGCAUGAACAAUAUGUCAAUAAAUACACAUGGUCAUAGUUCCGGAAGAUUGUCAUGAGUAUUCACUAUGUUAGGGAUACACUAGUUUUAAAAGAAGAAGGACAAUAACGCAAACACCGGUUAACAUGCACCAUUACUAGUUUAUGCUAAACUCUUGCUAGCAUACUAGUUUUCUAAAGUGUACUCGCAUGUCACUCGUACUACUUUCUGACAUGAACAAGCAAGAUCAGAAUCCAGCAUAACAAUCAAACAAUCAACUAUACCUCAACAUGAACACGAGUUUCUAGCCUCACAUCGACUUUAAGUAAUUGUUAUAUACAAACCAAUACAUUUGUAAAAAUGCCUAACUUACGUAUUAUUGGAUAAGCAUAGUGCUUGGAGAGAAAGUAUAGCCUUAGGAGUUACUUAAGAAAACAAAGCCAGUCAUCUAAAAGUCAUGUACCUAGUUGGAAGAGAGAAAACACGAUUUGUAAUCAAGCAAAGAUAAGUUAAUUGCCUUGUUCUGUUAGUACUAAUAAAAAUGAUGCAUCACCGUACAUCAUAAUGUCGGUAGACCUGAAGUUCGAUAUUUAGAACCUAGCGUGAUCAUAUUGGUUGUCUUCUCAUACCUUCACAACACUUGCUGCACCUUCUCUUACCUUCAUAGCAAUAUAUGCACCACCGUCCAGAACACCGUGAAGUCAACCAUGGAACAUGAAUCACAACCAAGUUAAUUAGGAAAUCUCACAAUCAAGGGAAUAUUAAGAACGGUACUAUUUAUCAUCUGAUCAUAACUAGCUAAUUAAGAUUUGUCUAUGUGUGUGUGCCAUGUAGAACAUAACUAGCUACUUAGCUACAACAUCACACCCAACUACUACCAUUGUACAAAAAGAACAAGUAGAAAUUAUAGAAAUAGUAGUAAUGCUUUAUAAGGGGUCUUCGUCUCAUUGUCUAGGGAUACAAUAGCAAAGGCGCUCGCGCUGGACACACUCAAGGGGCGGAAGAUAGCUACGGACGCGCACACAUGUGGGUAGCAGCAGCGCACGCAGGGUGUGGAGCAGAUGGGAAAGUGCAAUGAGAACACAUGCGCUAGGACAGGACGGAGGUAGCGACCAGCGAGGAUCAGCCUGGACAUUACAACAGUUUAACAAGGAGGAGUAUAGCGACAUGGAGUUAGUCAUCAGCUUUGCUAAUUCAAAAUUUUACUGAUACCAUUGCUCAAUCAGGCAGAAUUUGUUUUAUUUUCCAAACAAAACUUGCAUCAUAUUGCAAAAUGGUAGCAGAGGCUAGCACCAUGGAGAAACUCCCUAUAAGCUUUCUUGGUUGAGAGAUAAAUCAAUAGUGUAGCUGUAUGGAGACUACAAACAAUGUUUGAUUUUUUUAGUGUUGAUUCUAAAAAAAAGUGUUGUAUAAGCUUAAGAAUCUGUAAGCAUAAUGGCAGUGAGUGAGCAUGGACGGAUGUUUGGGAAAGUGCUCACCAGCAGAUUGGAUACCAUCAUUGAUUAAGUUGUAGCUGUCAGGAUAUAUGUGAUGGUAAGUAAUGUGUAGGUUGCGUGAAGCUGGUCCUACAUUUUAAUUUGUUCUAGUCAAGUUGCUCUGUUAUUAGUGCGCAAGUGCUCACCUUCAGAUAGAUUACCGUCCCCAACAAUUGCUGAUAAGUAAAUUUCCCAAACCUGGUGGUGAGAAUUAUGGGAAUCAGGUAGAGAAUUGUGCUACACUGCUAUUAACUUGUUGGAUGCUAUCAGGGCUGCAAGACGUACAAGGUUGGAUGGUUGCAACCAAUAUGUAGUUUCCAAAAUCGCAGAAAGAUUCAGCAACUAGCAUUAGACUUAUUGAUUUCUGGGUUCUUCGAUGAUGGCAGCAUGCAUCAUGUGUAAAUAUUUGCUAUCACCAACCAACGUGAGUGACCAGGGUAUUGAACAAAAACGAAAUUGUAUUAGCCAAAAGGGGCACCUCUGAUAAUAGCAGCACAUACCAACCUGGGAUUGAUCUGUGUAGUCGUCCUCCGAAAGUGCGCAGCCACAUGGCUGUGUGGGUGUGGGUGUGGUCGUGCUCGGAAGGAGGCGGAGAGGGAACCUAUCGUCGUAUCUCACCCGAGACGGAUGGGUCUCGCUGGGGCACCGGGAGGAAGAGAGGCAGCCGUUGCCUCUCUCGAGUCGCGCAUUGACGUGCCAGCUAGAUCCAUUGGAGGAGCACGUCGGAAGAGCCAGCCCUCGCAAAGCGACGACGGGAGGAAGAGAUCGAAGUGCUCGCCGCGCAAAGCAUGAGGAGGCCGCUACGUCGUGAUGUUCUCGUGACAGAGAUGUAGAGGCACCGGAUCCUUGGAUCCCGACGGCGACCAACACGCGGCCUCAGAGCAACGGCCUCGUCGGAGAUCUUAGCUAGCUCAGGAGGGAUGUAGAAAGGGAAGGAGGGAGCCAAAGGGAGGGGUGCGGUGGCCGUCAUGGUAGAGGUAAGGUAGACUUAGAUCUAACUUCCCUCGCCACCACACGAGAUAGAGGUAGGAAAUAUCACGGGGAGGGAGAGAGAUAGGGUUACGGGCAUGGAUUUAGCUCCAAAAGGGUAUAUUUAGUUGCUUAUAUGACCCCAUCGCUUUAAUUUUGGAUCUCAAUGGCGUGACCU